rnacentral:rRNA from 1 species
UACGGAGGGUGCAAACGUUGCUCGGAAUCAUUGGGCGUAAAGCGCACGUAGGCGGCCUGUUAAGUCGGGUGUGAAAGCCCUGGGCUCAACCCAGGAAGUGCACUCGAAACUGGCGGGCUUGAAUAUGGAAGAGGGUCGCGGAAUUCCUGGUGUAGCGGUGAAAUGCGCAGAUAUCAGGAGGAACACCGGUGGCGAAGGCGGGUCUCUGGGCCGUAACUGACGCUGAGGAGCGAAAGCGUGGGGAGCGAACAGG